AGCUUCAUCACCGCUUCGACCCGCCCUCACUCCUUCCCUGUCUACCCAUUUGUUGUGAGCUACAGUAUGUAUAAAUCUCCGUACCCCUCGCUCUCUUAGGACUAUCAAUCGGUGUGGUGUCAAUCACAGCGGCGGCUUCCCUUUCAUCUCGAUCCUCCCAGUCGCUGCGAGAGAUAAGGCAGAGAGAGUAGAGACAGAUGACCGGGAAGGAGAGCUACAUUACUUACGGAGCGGUGCUCCAGUUUGGAACUCGGUCCACAGCGUAUCGGUUUCUAACGCACUCCUCGAGCUUUUCUAUAGUUUAUUACGUUUAAUUUAGCCGUUAUUCAGUUCAAGGAUGUUGUUCAAUGUUCAUUUUAACAGGGAUAGAUACGCAGUAUUGUUUAAGUGGGGAAAAUAAAUAAGUGUUUUACUUGUGGCAAACACGCUGCACGAGAUUCAGAGACCCAUUUUUUUAAAUUAUAUUUUUCCUUAUAAUUUUUUUUUCACGAAAGGACUGCAACUCUCACAGGACCCCAGAACGAGGAAAUAUAAGCAGAAGUUUUUUUUCUCUCCAUGCGCUUUGACCGUUAGCGGAGCUCCCGGGUGUGUGCCCUCCUCCGCCAAAUCUGACGGCGCAUCUGACUCUCGUGAUGAGGUUUUGACUUCUGACAUUUUAAAGAGCCGAACUGGCGAGUGCCGCGGGUCGAGCGUGCACUACACAUCCGCUUUCUGCCGAUAACGUCUUCCAUCUCGGAUAUUUACAAUCUGAAUCAUUGUAAGAAUCCAUAAUACUUCGAAAAACAACGACAAAAAAAGGAUCUCCUGUUAAUUUAGCUCAAAGAAAAAAACGUGAUCUCACGCAGUUUCCUCCAGGGUUCCUAGAACACUUCAAGCCGCUUCAAGGAACAUUUUUGGUUUCCUUUUGGGGAUUUCGAUAGUUCCUCUAAUUUGGACAGUGCGAGUACUUCGACUGAAUCAAAAUGCCACAACUAGCAGGUGGUGGUGGUGGCGGGGACCCUGAGCUUUGUGCCACCGACGAAAUGAUUCCGUUCAAGGAUGAGGGAGACCAAGAACAAAUAUUCGCAGAACUCAGUCACUCAGAGGAAGACGAGGGAGACUUGGCAGAUAUCAAGUCAUCUUUAGUAAAUGAGUCAGAGACGAGUCCAAACAGCAACCAUGAUGGAACUAGACAAUCCCAAAUAUCCCAAGACUCAUAUCAUGAAAAACACAGAGACCAUCACGACGAUGGGAAACACCUAGACAUGUACAACAAAGGUCAUCCGUACUCUGGAUACCCAGGUUACAUCAUGAUGACUAAUAUGAACAACGACUCCUACAUGAACAACGGCUCCCUGUCGCCGCCCAUGCCCAGAACGUCCAAUAAGGUUCCGGUGGUGCAGCCGUCGCAUGCGGUCCAUCCGCUCACCCCCCUCAUCACGUACAGCGACGAACAUUUCGCCCCCGGACCCCACUCCGGACACCACCCCCAGGACGUCAACCCCAAACAAGGACAGUACCACUCAUCCUGUCUCUCUACAGGCAUGCAGCGGCAUCACCCCGGGCCAGACAUGACCAACUUCUACCCCCUCUCCCCUGGAGGAGUGGGACAGAUCACGCCCCCACUAGGAUGGUUCUCCCACCACAUGGUCCCGGGUCCCCCCGGCCCCCACGCCACAGGGAUCCCCCACCCGGCCAUCGUCAACCCCCAGGUCAAACACGAGCCCCAGCACGACAACGACCUGAUGCACAUUUUUGCCAGGAAGCCUCAGCACCCGGAUCAGAGGAAGGAGCAGGAGCCCAAGAGACCCCACAUCAAGAAGCCGCUGAAUGCCUUCAUGCUGUACAUGAAGGAGAUGAGGGCCAACGUGGUGGCAGAGUGCACGCUCAAGGAGAGCGCCGCCAUCAACCAGAUCCUGGGACGGAGGUGGCAUGCUUUAUCCAGAGAAGAGCAAGCUAAGUAUUACGAAUUAGCCCGCAAGGAACGGCAGCUCCACAUGCAGCUCUACCCAGGCUGGUCUGCCAGAGAUAAUUAUGGGCUCUUUGUAGUGUUCAUCUGCCUCCUCUCUGGACAGCCCCGCUCAGCACCUCUCACCUUCUGCCUCCGCCGCCCCGCCACCACCACACCACGCUGGGAGAAACACUGCAGGACAGGGAGUAGAGGACAGGACGGCAUAGGGCAGGACAAUACAAUGCAGUACAGACUUUAGUCUCUAGCCCUUACUCCAUUGGUGUUGACAGAUCUGAAAGGACUGAUCCGAUAGGCUAGAGCAAUAAGCCAGGAAGUAGAGGAUGACCUCAUGGUGUCUGAUGGCCUCUACUACCCUAUAGCUGCGUUCGAAUACUCAUACUAACCGCACUAUUGUGACGUAAAUUGAGUAUGUAGUGUGCUUAUUGGUCAUAGUAUGGAGUUAGUAUGCCAAAAGUUCCAGGAUGUCGUACUAAAUUCACCAAAAUACGAAAUAUACAAGCAGUGGACACUGUUUCUGUGCUUUUAGGACCCAUAAUGAAAUUCUUCAGAAAAUGGCACAACGUUUUCAGAUUUGAAGAAAAUGGCGGAAAAUAUGCUGAAGUCUGACGAGAGUGGAUACAAAUGCAUUGCUUUAACUAAUUAUGACAAAUGUUAGGAAAAUGUUGAGCAAUGUAAUAAAGUAAUUACUUUUCAAAUAAGUUAUGUUACACGUUAUGCUGGCUGACAAUUUGUUAGCUACGCUAACCUUACGAACCGCAUAGCAUAUCAUUACAGCAGUAUGUACCGGUAUGUUAGCUAGCUACCUAACGUUAGUUGGCUACUAAUACAUUGUUGAACUUGCCAGUAUAUUAACUAUAUGCUGUCUAACUAACUACCCAACAUUUAUUGACUUGAUUAUUCACAGCAUUCUUAGCUUAGCUAAGUGGUAUAGUCGUUGUGUGUUCUCAAUGGACUGGCUAUCUAUUCCGAUUUCAGAGCACUCUCGUCUGAGUGUGCCAGAGUGCACAAUAAAUGAUGAAUUUACGAACGCUCAACACCUGUUGAAUAUCAACCCUACUCCUCGGCCAGAGCGUCCAGUGUGCGCUCUGAACACUCCGAGUGCGAAACGCUCUGAAUUAACGAACAAACAAUCUGACAACGCUCUGAGUUUACGAACGCCCAGAGCAUUCUCUGGCACUCCAGAUUGAAUUUACAAACACACCCGAAAUCGUAAGCUGUCUAGCUAGUAAUUUGUUAUGCUAACAAGCUAGCAAGAGGUUGCAUAGCAACAGCAUCAACUUCUGGUAGACAGGCGAAGCGCUAGUACGCUCAACUGAAAGGAUGCCGUUCAUUUACAGUUGACUAAAAUGAACUAAUAGUAUAUAGUAUGUAGUAUAUACUCAUUAAGUAUGUAGUAUACUGUAUGUUUUUAUGGGUAUUUGAACACCGCUUAUGAGUCUCAUAGAGAGGAGCACACACUUAACACCAAGCACCCCUCUGACAUAAACUAAGCCCUUCAUAGUACUGUACCACACACACACACACACACACACAUCCUCACUGUCAUAGACUACUGUUCACAUCACCUGCCCCCCCUCUCUCUCCCUCCCUCCUCUCUCUGUCUGCCACAGCGGUGUGAGAGGAACCCAGAUUAGCUCAUCAUAAAUAAGUGGAUUAGUAGACUUUGCAGCAGGAAACCAAAGUGCUGCUCAUAUUUGACUAGAAUGACUGUUAUGCUGCUAUCUCCACCUAUAGUCCCCCUCCCUAGGGGAUUUGGGUAUAAGCUAUAAAUCCACACACACUUACUCACAGUGGAGCUCAGUGAUCAGCGCUCGCUGGAGGGGGGGUUGACUGAUGCUCUCCAUGGUAAUCAGUCGAGGACCAGCUCUCCCAAGUAAUAUAUAGCCACAUUUUUAUGUUUUAAUUACAUAUUGAUGUUUGGUAUUAGGAGACUGAAAAAGACUACAUACGCUGCUUCUGCUGCUGCUACACUUUAAGUCUUUAUAGAAGAAUGGUGAUGGAUGUUUUGUUCAUUAUAGGUUGUUAGAGAGCACACACUGAUACAGGUGAGGAGAGGACAGCCAAGUUUGCUACUUGCUCCGAUUGGAAGGCAAGGGUGGGGUUCAAAACCUAACAUUCUGGAAUGGAUCCUAUCAAACAUGUCUGUUUGUCAGAGAGCACACUAUACUGAAGUCAGGUGUGGAGAGGAUGGAGACAGCCAGCUCUCAUAGGCAGGGAGUAGAGAUGGUCAGCCCCUCUGACCAAUCCCAGCGUGGUGAUUGGCUGCAGGCCCAGAGAGCGAGGAGUGCUGGUUGGCUGCCCGGCGGGGGAUGAGUGAACGGGGCAAACGGCAGCAGGACUAAGCGUGGUGGAGUGAGGGUGAGUGCUGGAGCCACACUUUAAGCGUUCACCUCGAUAUUUUCUAGGGAAAGAAGAAGAAGCGGAAGAGGGAGAAGAUCCAGGAACCGGCUGCAGGUACAGGCCAGAGAAUGAAAACGGCGUACAUCUGAGCAUAAAUGGAGGAAAACGGAACGCUUUCUCCACGUCGUGCAAAGCGAAGGCAGCAGCUAUGGCCCCUCUGUUAGAGAUGGAGGCCUGCUAGAUUCAAUGAACCCUCCUCCACCUUAUCCCCGACCCCCAAGCCUCAACUCCCGUUCUCAGAGGAAUACCCCCCCGAACUUGACUUUAUACUCCUCUCCUGCAGUGACUCUCCUAUCUGCUGUAGAAACUGAACUGAACAAGACAAUCACUACUAAAGACCAUCAACCAACCGCAUGCAAACUCCCCAGCCCCCUCACUCCCCAGCCCCCUCACUCUCCAGGCCCUCACGCCUUUUUCUCUUCUUACAAGCAGCUCUAUCUCAAUCCAAGGCACUGCACUGAAAACAGUUCAGCGAUUUAACUUUGUCAAACACAAUUAACACCUCCCCACACAUACCCCAACACCUGUUUCUAAGUUAUUUCUAAGUUAUUUGCCACCUCCGUUCCUUUCCUUUGUACAGCCUACUAUGUUCGACCCUCAACACUCCCCUUUCCCCUCUCUCACUGGAUUUCAGACCACAUGUUUGGGUUGCGGCCUGACUCAACACCUCUUUAGACUGACUGCACUAUCACAAGGAAGAUGGAGGGAUGUCAAUCACAUGUUGUCAAGGAAACAUCCUCUCAAGGCUCCUAUCCUCCAUUUUGUUUUUAUUAACGACCAGUUGGUGCAAAAAAUAUCAACGUUUUAUGAUUAUAGCUUUUACUUUUGAGUUGGAAUUAAUUGAAUGCUUUUUUGUAUUUUGAACUUGGUUUAAAUUUCUCGGUGUAUAUUUUCAGUGAAUGUUUUUUUUAUAUAUAUAUAUAUAUAUAUAUAUAUAUAUAUAUAUAUAUAUACUGGUAUAUAUGAAAAUAAGCUUUGAACACAGGAAAGCCAUUUGUUUUCUUGUUAAAGCGUCUUGCAGAAAAAUGAAAAUUAAGGCUUCUUUUGAUACUAUUUGUAACAAAUAGUGACCUUGACUCGAGUCUUGCUCAGAUGUAAAAUAAAGCUCAGUAUGUGUACUUUUUAAAUAAACUGUCAGGAUAUGUCACUUUUCUUGGUAUUUUUGCAGGCAACGUUAGGACAAAGGCAAGUGGUUGCUCAGAGGCCUAUAUUUUAUUGUUCUAAACUGACAGAUGAAGCAGAUAUAUAUUUACCCCAGCACUUGGCAGUGUUCAUUUUAUUGCGAUCAGGGUUGGGGUCAAUUCCAGUCAAUUCAGAAAGUUAACCAAAUUCCAAUUGCAAUUCGACAUUUUCCUCAUUGGAAAGCAUUGAAGAGAAAUUGGAGUUUCAGUAUACUUCCUGAAUUGACCCCAAGCCUGAUUGGAUGGACUUUUUUCUUCUCUAUCUGGUAACUGUGGUCUUUUUGCCCAUGUUGUUUAUUUCAUGCAUUUCUGUAACAUUUUAUUGAUUUCAUGCUCUAUUUUUAGUAUUACUUGAUGCAUUUUUUAUUCAUUGUCGUAUUUUGAAUCACUGUCAUCUUGGUAUUAGCACUUUGCUUCCCAAGUGGCCACAUUUUAACAGUUUCAACAUGUUUUGUUUUUUUAAAGAAAAAUAAAAAGGCAUUGGCUCA